rnacentral:tRNA from 1 species
GUUACCGUAGCUUAAAAAAUAUGAAAGCGCGACCCUGAAGUUGCCGUGAUGGAUUUGCAAUUUAAUCCCGGAAACA